UAUGUUUGAUGCUUCCUAGGAGUUGUGACAUGUGUUCAUUGCAGUUAAGAGGACACUCAUUUUAAAACACUGCGAUCGAUGGCCCCUUGAUUUAGUUACCCUGGCUAAUUAAAAUAGAUAUAAUAUAACAUCUAAAUUAUCAGUAACAAGCAUACAAACCAUUCAUUCAUCUUCCCUAACUAACAGUCGGCAGAAAAUAGACUUUAAUUUUUGCUCUAAUCAGGGAUUCGAAUCGGUUGUUUGUGGUAUGCACUUACCUGCAUGAUUGAAUCGCUUUAGUGUAAGUUUAUGUAUGUUAUCAGUUACUUGUCAGCAGUUUGUAAUGAGAGUGACACAUGAAGCAAAGGCUAUCAUAAAGUACGCGCCGGCAUUAAUCAGUAGGACGGUAAUCACUGCCUAGAGGUACAGCUGCUGCCCGCCAAGACGAUCAAUGAAUCAUGUUUCGAAACUCGUGAACCUCGACGCGGACUGCCUGCGUGGCGGCCAUUGCGGGAAGAGGCAGGGAAGGAGGAGCAUCGGUUGAAGGUUUGCACCACUGCUUUUGCAUUCAAUAGAUUUAGGGUGACUGUGGCUGCUGGACUUGGCUUGAGGACUCUGAUGCUGCUGCCUGAUCUGAAAUUCACAAGUGGGCUUGGUUGGGCAGAAGCGGACUGGUGGAAAAGCAAGGCCAGGGGGAAGAAAUUAAAAGAGAAGAAAAAAGCAGAAAAACACAUCGGGUCAAGUGUAUAUAAGUGUGCACUGUGAAGUAACUAAGUGCAUGCUGCAGGGUGUGAAGUAUCAGAAGUAUUGACUAUUGAGGAGGAAGACCUAAGAAGCGAUACAAAGCGUUACAGAUCAAAAGAAGAAGAAGAAGAAGAAGUUGCCCCCCCCCCCCCCCCCUCAGCUGGCGCCUUCCUCAAACUCAAAGUGAUGCAGACGCAGGACAUUCCACAACUGACUACACUCCUUCCUGCACGUGUCCACCUCAUUUGACCUGCCCAUCUGGUGGCGGCGGCCGGUCCCUCCUCAAGACUCACCUCGGUCAUCCGCCUCGCCUGCGCCCCACCACUCCUUGGCCGUCCAGUGCUGCAGGAACAGAAUUCCUGGAGUGGAAAGAAAGACUAGAGAUGGACGAGGGAGUCAAGUAUACACUUCGCUGCGGCGCCAGGAAAACACUUCAUGGCAGCAGGCAAACUUAGCACUGUCAAAGAUCUGGUGUGAAGAGGACGGCAGCACGGGAGAGCUCUAAAGAGAAUCAUCAUGGUACAAAAAGUCAAGGCACCUGUAAGAUGGGUCAGUUCUGUACAUCCUCAAUCGAUGUGCUGAGGAGUGAUGGCCAGAAUCAGGUGACUUAUUUUGUGGAUCACCAUGGUCACAACCUUGAUGUAGCAGCCCUCGUUCACAAGAAGCUUAAUGAACGUGAGGACAUAAUUUUAGCAUGGUGUAGUGUCAAUACUGCUGCAUGGUGUCUCGACCCUCAGGCACGUUGCCACCACUUCCCUGUGUGGCGAGAGGUCUUCUAGCAGUGAAGGGGUGACCCAGACAUCAGUCCAGGAGCUGUCAGGAAAGAGGGAAGGCUGCAAUUAGUUAUGAGCAAAACAACUUGGUUUUCUCCAGGUAAUCUACUUUCCCUGUGUUUAGAGUUGAUUUUAAUGCCUACAAGGUACCACCACUGAAUCCCUUCCGAGUAAAAAUCAGGGCAGCAAACGAAUGGAGUCACUGAUGAUCUACAAGGUCACUGCACCAGAGGCCACUUCUGCUGCACUAUUCUUGACGCCCUAGCCCAGCACUGAGGGCAUGAAGAAAAGAUGAUCCCACUCAAUUUGCAAUAGCUGGAGACACUUUUAAUCAACUUGCAAUGUCACAUGCUGCAAUUACGCUUGAAAUAAUCCUAUAAUAUAACACCGUUGAGUACCCUAACUGCUACUGGCACUCAGUGGUGUCAUAUUCCAAGAUUUUUUCACUGUUAUUGCAGUUUCUCUAAUGGUGUUGGGAUAGUGACAAGCUAAUAUUGGUUUACAUUUGUUACAUCAUAUAGCAUGCUAGGAAUCUUACAUUUUAUGAACUGUGAAACAUACUCACCUCAUGUCUGGAUGAUGUGUAGUGCGGCCACGGCCUGAUGAACGAGCACUACAGAUGUUAAAUAAAUAAUUCGGGGACAAGCA